CAGGAAUCUAGGAAACUUCACCUGCACUGUCCAGUAUCCAGGACAAAUUACUGCUGCACAAAAUACCACCAUGACUAGUGUUAAGUGGAUUGACUUUUCCGAACUGGUCCCAGGUGCCAUGUCUCCCUGUUCGUCGCCGCCAGCUCCCCCUGCUGCCCAGUGUUCGCUACAGCCCCCCGAGCUCGCAGAGGACUGGCCGCCGACAAGGACUGGCCUCCCCGUCCCGCAGGAGAUUAAGUUGCUGAGAUAAAGUUGGCAACAAAGCGUUUGUAAUGGAACUAAAGUGUACUGUCGUACAAAGAUUAU